GGAGGCCUACGGGGGGCAGCAGUGAGGAAUAUUGGUCAAUGGUCGGGAGACUGAACCAGCCAAGCCGCGUGAGGGAGGAAGGUACAGAGUAUCGUAAACCUCUUUUGUCAGGGAACAAAGGCGGGGACGUGUCCCCGGAUGAGUGUACCUGAAGAAAAAGCAUCGGCUAACUCCGUGCCAGCAGCCGCGGUAAUACGGAGGAUGCGAGCGUUAUCCGGAUUUAUUGGGUUUAAAGGGUGCGCAGGCGGGCUGGUAAGUUAGCGGUUAAAGCCCGGGGCUCAACCCCGGCCCGCCGUUGGAACUGG
rnacentral:rRNA from 1 species